rnacentral:rRNA from 1 species
GACGAACGCUGGCGGCGUGCUUAACACAUGCAAGUCGAACGGAAAGGCCUCUUUCGGGGGGUACUCGAGUGGCGAACGGGUGAGUAACACGUGAGUAACCUGCCCUUGACUUUGGGAUAACUUCAGGAAACUGGGGCUAAUACCGGAUAGGAGCUCCUGCUGCAUGGUGGGGGUUGGAAGGUUUCGGCGGUUGGGGAUGGACUCGCGGCUUAUCAGCUUGUUGGUGGGGUAGUGGCUUACCAAGGCUUUGACGGGUAGCCGACCUGAGAGGGUGACCGGCCACAUUGGGACUGAGAUACGGCCCAGACUCCUACGGGAGGCAGCAGUGGGGAAUAUUGCACAAUGGGUGGAAGCCUGAUGCAGCAACGCCGUGUGCGGGAUGACGGCCUUCGGGUUGUAAACCGCUUUCGCUCAUGACGAAGCUUUGUGUGACGGUAGUGGGUAAAGAAGCACCGGCUAACUACGUG